rnacentral:rRNA from 1 species
AGAGUUUGAUCCUGGCUCAGAAUCAACGCUGGCGGCGUGCCUAACACAUGCAAGUCGAACGCGAAAGGGACUUCGGUCCUGAGUAGAGUGGCGAACGGGUGAGUAACGCGUGGGUGACCUACCCUCGAGUGGGGGAUAACGUUCCGAAAGGGACGCUAAUACCGCAUGACAUUCCGGGUUUGAAGACCUGGAAAUCAAAGCCGGGGACCGCAAGGCCUGGCGCUUGAGGAGGGGCCCGCGUCUGAUUAGCUAGUUGGCGGGGUAACGGCCCACCAAGGCGACGAUCAGUAGCCGGCCUGAGAGGGCGGACGGCCACACUGGGACUGAGACACGGCCCAGACUCCUACGGGAGGCAGCAGUGGGGAAUUGUUCGCAAUGGGCGCAAGCCUGACGACGCAACGCCGCGUGGAGGAUGAAGGUCUUCGGAUCGUAAACUCCUGUUGAUCGGGACGAAAAGCUUCAACCUAAUACGUUGAAGACUGACGGUACCGGUGAGAGC